rnacentral:rRNA from 1 species
CCUACGGGGGGCUGCAGUGAGGAAUAUUGGUCAAUGGGCGCGAGCCUGAACCAGCCAAGUCGCGUGAGGGAAGACGGUCCUAUGGAUUGUAAACCUCUUUUGUCGGGGAGCAAAAGACGCCACGCGUGGCGUUCCGAGAGUACCCGAAGAAAAAGCAUCGGCUAACUCCGUGCCAGCAGCCGCGGUAAUACGGAGGAUGCGAGCGUUAUCCGGAUUUAUUGGGUUAAAGGGGUGCGCAGGCGGAAGAUCAAGUCAGCGGGAAAAUUGAGAGGCUCAACCUCUUCGAGCCGUUGAAACUGGUUUUCUUGAGUGAGCGAGAAGUAUGCGGAAUGCGUGGUGUAGCGGUGAAAUGCAUAGAUAUCACGCAGAACUCCGAUUGCGAAGGCAGCAUACCGGCGCUCAACUGACGCUCAUGCACGAAAGUGUGGGUAUCGAACAGGAUUAGAUACCCGUGUAGUC